UGACCUCUGUCUAAGCAAGGAAACUGUUAAGGUCACAAUGAGUCUGGAAUUGUGUGCAUAUACAUGUUCAGUUCAGUUUUUAUCUGAGACCCAACAGAAUACUGUACAAGAAGAGGCAAAGGAAACGGACUGAAGACGUGAAGGUGCUGAAGACGAGAAGCGAUACCAGUUUUUGUAUAAAUACAGAAGCCAGUGCAGCCAAGAUCGACACUGAUGGUAAUCCCCAUCUAAUGAACAUCCUGCUAACUUGACCUUAGAUUUACCACCAUUCAUACCAGAAGUUUGAAAUCAAUGGAGAGCAGAGUGGCUAUGAAGAAAUAUGCUGAGGGAAACAUGAAGAAAGAAAACAUGACGGCCUUAGUGAAAGAAAUGAUAUUGGCUAUUUCACAGAAGAGGAGGGAAGAAUUCAAGAAGUUUUUCGGGAUUUAGAGUUAGCUAAAAUUUAAGAUGGAUUUUUUGAUGUGGCAAUUGUAGACUGGUAGAAUUUAUCUGCUGUGAAUUUGACCAGGAUGUAUUGGACUGCCUUGAUCAACUGUCCAUAUAAUCAUUAUGUUCUGGAGGGUCCAAACUCAAACCUAACAUUCUUGAGGUACUACAAGCAUUAGGAGAGAAGCCAUUUGCCAUAAAAUGUCCAAAAUACAUUUGAAGUGAUGAUCAUCAUCAAUGGCUUUGGGUGAAGGUUGUCUGUAAUUGCCAAGUCAACAUUUACCGAGCCAAUAUCUGGUGCCUCUCGCAAGCUGAAGAAUAUAUAGAAAAACCAACAUUCAUCACAUUUGAUCUUGCAGCUACCAGACUUGUGUUGGACAAGGAGCCUUGCCCUGUAUUACUCAAACUGGAGCGGUGGAGGUAGAGUCCGGGGAUAUUUUCACUAUCUGUGUUCUUCCCAGAAUUCCUAUAUGGCCUGGAGGUAGACUCCGGAGAUAUUAAAAUUUCACUGUCGUGUUCUUCCAAGAAUUCCCUUAGAGUCUGGAGCAGAGCAAACCACCAGAAUAGUCUGUAAUGGAACCUUAGUUUUUUCUCAUGGAUAAUUUUGACAAUUUUAUUGUAUUAUUGUACAGAUGGCAUUUUCUAGGGUUAAGGAAAUUCAGUGUAGCAUUGUACUGACAUUUUUAUGAAUUAUCUUCGGUUACGAAAAUUUAAUUUUGUAUUGUUUACUUGAUAUUUUCUAGGAUUUAUCUGGAGAUAUAGAAAUUAAUGCAUUAUUGUAUUAUACUUUAUAUGAUUUAUUUGGGUUAUUUUAAUUAUUCAACUGUAUAACUCUC